rnacentral:rRNA from 1 species
UAUGUGAUCGUCUCUCGCAUAUCAAUAAGCGGAGGAAAAGAAACUAACAAGGAUUCCCCUAGUAACGGCGAGUGAAGCGGGAAGAGCUCAAAUUUGAAAUCUUAAAGGGUUUCCCUUUACGAAUUGUAGUUUAAAGAAGUGUUUUCUGUUGAGGUUUUGGUAAAAGUUCUUUGGAAUAGGACAUCAUAGAGGGUGAGAAUCCCGUAUUUGACCUUUACUUUCAACUUUGUGAUACACUUUCAAAGAGUCGGAUUGUUUGGGAAUGCAGUCCAAAAUGGGUGGUAAAUUUCAUCUAAAGCUAAAUAUUGGCGAGAGACCAAUAGCGAACAAGUACCGUGAGGGAAAGAUGAAAAGAACUUUGAAAAGAGAGUUAAACAGUACGUGAAAUUGUCAAAAGGGAAGCGUUUGACACCAGUGUUGUUUUUCUGAAAAUCAAUUAAAGAACUGUUUAUGCUAAGCUGUUUAGACUUUAUCAGCUAAUCUGUUUAGUUUUGAGCUUUUCUUUAAUGCACUUUUCAGUUAACAAGUCAACAUCAAUUUCUUUUGCUGUAAAAAAGCUUGAGGAAGGUGGCUUGAGAUUCGUCUUAAGUGUUUAUAGCCUCUUGCCUAUGCAGUCGGAGAGAUUGAGGUCUGCAGCGUAGAUCCUUCGGGGCUAAAUGCAUUUGUGCUAAGUUAUAGCAUUUUAUAGACAACUUGUUGACUAUGAUUUGUCUUGUAGCUUACUCGCUUAUGUUAUUUUACCUACGCUUAGGAUGUUGAGUCAUCACACAUCUCU